rnacentral:rRNA from 1 species
UAAUUGAAGAGUUUGAUCAUGGCUCAGAUUGAACGCUGGCGGCAGGCCUAACACAUGCAAGUCGAGCGGCAGCACAGAGGAACUUGUUCCUUGGGUGGCGAGCGGCGGACGGGUGAGUAAUGCCUGGGAAAUU